CCUAGGCUAUAUACGGGGACUUGUUCCUCAUCUUCUCGCCUAGGGGAAAGUCCCCGGACCUCCGGCAGAGAGUGCCACGUGCGCAUGCACGUAGACUCACCCCGCCCCCCACGGCUAGUCCGCCAAGAAAUUUGCUGUUCUUCUGUGUCUGUGGAC
ensembl:misc_RNA RNase_MRP RNase MRP